ACUUGCAAACUAAGGGGAACGAGCUUCCUUCUGAAUGUUUAUGAAGGAGAGACCACUGUGAGGAUAGACAGUGAAGUGCAACUACAGCCCGCAAAUGAAAAUGAAUAAAAUUAAUCCAGCCCCUCAAGGCAGUCAUCUGUCUUAGAGCUAUUGGAAUCCUGGAUCACUGUGGGAAAUGAAAGAUACUUCGAUGGAAUCAGCAGCCAUUGAUCCAAUGCCAACUCCAAGACUGGAACGUCGCAAUGAUAGUUCCAAGGCGGAAAUUUGACGUAAUUCUUUUCGACACAGUUUUACAGGUCUGGAUGCCCAUUUUAAUUCUUCUGAAAGCAUGCCUCCUCCUUCUGGCUUCAGGACUCCAUCUCCAGCCUUAUGAUCUAAAAAUAAUCCCCAAACCAAAAAAUUAGAUAUUAUUUCCUCAAAAUUAGGUGUUUUAAUCAAAACAUCUUAACAUAAAUACAUUAUUAUCACCCAAUAUG
rnacentral:lncRNA from 1 species